rnacentral:tRNA from 1 species
GAGGGUAUAGCUCAGUGGUAGAGCAAAUGCUUAGCAUGCAGGAGGUCCUGGGUUCAAUAGCCAGGACCUCCA